UAAGCCAUGCAUGUCUAUGCACACGCCCUUGAAUGGUGAAGCCGCGAAAAGCUCAUUACAACAGCCAUAGUUUAUUGGAUGUUUACGUUCCUACAAGGACACCUGCGGUAAUUCUGGAGCUAAUACUUGCGAAAUGCGACAACCUCACGGGAGUCGUGCAUUUAUUAGAUUAAACCAAUCGGUCCUUCGGGACCGCCAUUUGGUGAACUCUGAAUAACUUAGCUGAUCGCACAGUCUCGUACUGGCGACAAAUCUUUCAAGUGUCUGCCUUAUCAACUUUCGAUGGUAGUUUAUACGACUACCAUGGUUGUAACGGGUAACGGAGAAUAAGGGUUCGACUCCGGAGAGGGAGCCUGAGAAACGGCUACCACAUCCAAGGAAGGCAGCAGGCGCGCAAAUUACCCACUCGCAGAACGCGGAGGUAGUGACGAAAAAUAACGAGGUGGCUCUCUAUGGGGUCCAUCAUCGGAAGGGGUACAAUUUAAAUCCUUUAACGAGGAUCUAUUGGAGGGCAAGUCUGGUGCCAGCAGCCGCGGUAAUUCCAGCUCCGAUAGCGUAUACUAAAGUUGUUGCGGUUAAAAAGCUCGUAGUUGGAUCUGCGCUCGGUGAAAGCGGUCGCCCGAUGGGUUGUUACUGCUUCUCCCGGGCUAACCAUUCGGUUUUCCCUUGAUGCUCUUAACUGAGUGUCCUGGGUGACCGGAACGUUUACUUUGAAAAAAUUAGAGUGCUCAAAGCAGGCGAUUUGCCAGAAUAUUCGUGCAUGGAAUAAUAAAAGAGGUCCUUGUAGCCUUUUAUUGGUUAUCGCUACGAGGAAAUGAUCGAAGGGGACAGACGGGGGCAUUUGUACUGCGACGUUAGAGGUGAAAUUCUUGGAUCGUCGCAAGACAAACUACUGCGAAAGCAUUUGCCAAGAAUG
rnacentral:rRNA from 1 species